UCGUCUCUCAUCUUACAUCGCUCACUCCCCGUCGUCUUUGCCGCCGGAAAUCGCCAAUAACCUCAAACUUUCACCAAAUAAUCCCCACCCUCUCCUCUUUCCAAAUCCAUUAACCUUUCCCUUCAAAACCUUCCCGUUUUUGUUUGUAGAUCUAUGAAACCAAACCCUAGCCGCCACUUGCCCCCUUUUCAAUUUCUCGACUAAUUUUCCUCUUUACGGUUGGAAUUUACAUCAGUUGAGAUCUCUUGAUGAGAUUUAUCCAUUGAUGUAAAACUCAGUCUGUUUCUUAGAGGUCAUAUUUUGGUCAACCAGUCGUUGUCCGGCAAGAACCUGACUGAGGUCACCCCUUUUGUUUUAUCUCGAGUUCAAAUAGCUCGAAUAUGACUUUAAGGAAGAUGGAAAUACAUGGAAGCAUGUUGAGUAUGAGAUAGUAAAGGUCUUUCUUUGGACAAUGAGUUUCACGACUAUAUAGUUUAAACAUAGUGUAAUGGAAGCUCAAGGAUGACUGUAAUUCAUUAGAAUAGUUAUUUGUGUAAUAUUGAACCGAUAUGUAAAUUUCUAUAAUUAUUCUAGUCUGUUAUAAUUAAAUAUAAAUUUUGGAUGAUCUUAUGAUAAUAAUUGAGGCCAUGGGAAAAUGUGAGCCUGUAAUAGUAUUUAUCAAUAGUAAUGAUAAAUUUGCAAAA